rnacentral:rRNA from 1 species
GAUGAACGCUGGCGGCGUGCCUAAUACAUGCAAGUCGAGCGAACAGACGAGGAGCUUGCUCCUCUGACGUUAGCGGCGGACGGGUGAGUAACACGUGGAUAACCUACCUAUAAGACUGGGAUAACUUCGGGAAACCGGAGCUAAUACCGGAUAAUAUAUUGAACCGCAUGGUUCACUAGUGAAAGACGGUUUUGUUGUCACUUAUAGAUGGAUCCGCGCCGCAUUAGCUAGUUGGUAAGGUAACGGCUUACCAAGGCGACGAUGCGUAGCCGACCUGAGAGGGUGAUCGGCCACACUGGAACUGAGACACGGUCCAGACUCCUACGGGAGGCAGCAGUAGGGAAUCUUCCGCAAUGGGCGAAAGCCUGACGGAGCAACGCCGCGUGGGUGAUGAGGGUCUUCGGAUCGUAAAACUCUGUUAUUAGGGAGGAACAGAUGUGUAAGUAAAUAUGCACGUCUUGACGGUACCUAAUCAGAAAGCCACGGCUAACUACGUG